UACGUCGGUGGCAAGCGUUGUCCGGAUUUACUGGGCGUAAAGCGCGUGUAGGCGGCCUGUUAAGUCUGUCGUGAAAUCUCCCGGCUUAACCGGGAUAGGUGGACGGAUACUGGCAGGCUUGAGGGGAGCAGAGGAAGGUGGAAUUCCCGGUGUAGUGGUGAAAUGCGUAGAUAUCGGGAGGAACACCAGUGGCGAAGGCGGCCUUCUGGGCUCAACCUGACGCUGAUACGCGAAAGCGUGGGGAGCGAACCGG
rnacentral:rRNA from 1 species